UACGUAGGGUGCAAGCGUUAAUCGGAAUUACUGGGCGUAAAGGGUGCGUAGGCGGCGCGGUAAGUCGGGUGUGAAAUUUCGGAGCUUAACUCCGAAACUGCAUUCGAUACUGCGGUGCUUGAGGACUGGAGAGGAGACUGGAAUUCAUGGUGUAGCAGUGAAAUGCGUAGAGAUCAUGAGGAAGACCAGUGGCGAAGGCGGGUCUCUGGACAGUUCCUGACACUGAGACACGAAGGCCAGGGGAGCAAACGGG
rnacentral:rRNA from 1 species